UUUUACUUUUAUUUAAGAUUGGAGAAUACGAGUAAUAACUUAAAAACCCAAGAUUUUGGCGGUGUCUUAUUCAAUCAGGGGGACCUGUAUUAUAACUCGACAGUCCACGUAUAAGCCCUACCCUCUCUUGAUAUCAGCAUGUGUACUGCCGUCCAAUAGACCCUUAAAGUAUUCUAUAAUAAUUUAUUCAAAUAUACGUCAGGUCAAAGUGCAGCUUACUGAGAAGGAAAAUAUGGGUCACAGUCUAUAGUAUAGUAAAUAUAAUUUAAUUGUUAAAUUAAUACUUUAGGACUUGAUAGUAACAUUACUAAAGAAGUAAUUUGAAAUUGAACCUAAGACAAGC
rnacentral:rRNA from 1 species